rnacentral:lncRNA from 1 species
CGGACACCCGCAGACUCCCGCGCGCGCCCUCCCCGCGAGCCUUACUGUGCGCACCCCGGGGUGGGGGUCAGGAGGGGCCCAGAAAUUUUUUUUAUGGAAUGAAGUCAACAGAGCAUUUUAAUUAGAGGUAAGACAGCUG